rnacentral:rRNA from 1 species
CCUACGGGUGGCAGCAGUGGGGGAUAUUGCACAAUGGGGGAAACCCUGAUGCAGCGACGCCGCGUGGGUGAAGAAGGAUUUCGGUAUGUAAAGCCCUAUCAGCAGGGAAGAAAGAAGACGGUACCUGACUAAGAAGCACCGGCUAACUACGUGCCAGCAGCCGCGGUAAUACGGAGGGGGCGAGCGUUAUCCGGAUUCACUGGGUGUAAAGGGAGCGUAGAGGGCCGUGCCAGCCAGGAGUGGAAGCCUGGGGCCCAACCCCGUGACUGCUCUUGAAACUGUGCGGCUGGAGUGGGGGAGGAGCAGGCGGAAUGCCUGGUGUAGCGGUGAAAUGCGUAGAUAUUAGGAGGAACACCAGUGGCGAAGGCGGCUUACUGGACAGUAACUGACGUUGAGGCUCGAAAGCGUGGGGAGCAAACAGGAUUAGAUACCCUGGUAGUC